CGCAGCAACGCCGCGUGUGUGAUGAAGGUUUUCGGAUCGUAAAGCACUUUCGAUCGGGACGAACACCCCUGAGCUAACAUCUCAGGGCCUGACGGUACCGGGAGAAGAAGCACCGGCUAACUCUGUGCCAGCAGCCGCGGUAAUACAGAGGGUGCAAGCGUUGUUCGGAAUUAUUGGGCGUAAAGCGCGUGUAGGCGGCUUUGCAAGUCGGGUGUGAAAGCCCUCAGCUUAACUGAGGAAGUGCGCCCGAAACUGCUUAGCUUGAGUACCGGAGAGGGUGGCGGAAUUCCCCAAGUAGAGGUGAAAUUCGUAGAUAUGGGGAGGAACACCGGUGGCGAAGGCGGCCACCUGGACGGAUACUGACGCUGAGACGCGAAAGCGUGGGGAGCAAACAGGAUUAGAUACCCUGGUAGUCCACGCCGUAAACGAUGAGAACUAGGUGUCGUGGGUGUUGACCCCCGCGGUGCCGUAGCUAACGCAUUAAGUUCUCCGCCUGGGAAGUACGGCCGCAAGGCUA
rnacentral:rRNA from 1 species